AUGCAUGGUUUGGAACUCCUUAAAAAAGGAUGUAUUUGGCGCAUCUGCAACGGAAAUAGUGUUCGCAUUUGGAGAGACAAUUGGAUCCCGAGAGGAAACAUGAAAAUAAACAUGAACCCAACAAGGUCCCGAACUCGGUGGGUAGCAGACCUCAUCGACCAGGAGAGUCACGCUUGGAAGGAGGACUACAUCAUGCGUAUAUUUACACGCAAAGACGCAAAUGAUAUUUUAAGUAUCCGACUACCAAAUUAUGAUGAUGAGGAUUAUAUUGUGUGGCAGCCCGAAAAAAAUGGAAUUUUCAGUGUUCGUAGCGCAUAUCGGUUAGCCAUGGACGAAAAGGGUUCUGGGGUGAUUGGGUCCAGCCACAAUACCCAAGGAGAUCGCAGUAUUUGGAAUAAUAUCUGGAAGACAAAUGUACCCCAAAAAGUACGUAUUUUUACAUGGAGACUAGCAUCGGAGUCACUGGCGGUUCAAACUAAUAGAUUUCGUCGCAUCCCAGGCCUCACCCCGAUUUGUAAUGUAUGUGGGGCCGAGGAUGAGACAGGCUUCCAUAUGGCACAUCGAUGCACAUUUGCAAGGGCCUUGUGGCACGAACUCAAGGAGGCAUGGAACCUGCCCCCUGAGCAGGAAGUACAAUAUACUGGAAGGGAUUGGGUCCUAAUCUUGCUAGAUAAGGUGAGUGAAGAUAUGAAACAAAAAUUUAUGCUAUUUUGGUGGCGUGUUUGGCACCAUAGAAAUGACGCGAUCUUCGCAAAAGGUAAAGCGAAAAUUUCCCACUCUGCUCGUUUUCUGCAAAACUACCUUGCAAACAUCCGCUUGAUUGCGGAGGGAACUUCUGAGAUAGAUCGAAAAGGGAAAAGUCCGAUGGUUAACUUGCCAUCAGUGCAACAACAUGAUCAUACAAAGGAAAAAGGAUGGACAAUGCCAGAGCUCGGAUGGGCUAAGGUCAAUGUUGAUGGAAGUUUUUUGGAGGAAAAUAGGAGCGGAGCCUGGGAAGCUGUGAUUCGAGAUCAUGAUGGAAGAAUUAUCUUAUCAGCUUGGGAUUAUAUACCGCGGUGCAAUGGAGCGGACUGCGCGGAAGCCAUGGCUUGCCUAGAAGGACUAAGGAUGGCAAUGUCGGGGACGAAUCUACCCUUAAUCAUCGAGACAGAUUGCAACUCGGUGACAAAGGCGCUUAUCCUCUCGUCUAUUGAUAGAUCGGAGGUUGCAACAAUUGUAAAGGAGUUUCAAGCCAUGAAAGGGAACAGAGAAGUAAAAGUUUGCAAAGUAGAUAGAAGGGACAAUAGGUUAGCUCAUAGUCUUGCCCAGUUGGGGCGUAGAGAGUUGCGUGGUGGGGUUAUGCAAGGCUCUGUGCCAACCUGCGUGUUGAGUGAGGCCUUGCACGAUUGUACGAACUAUGUUUCUCUACUUAAUUAA
rnacentral:rRNA from 1 species